GGCUUAGAGUUUGAUCAUGGCUCAGGAUGAACGCUAGCGACAGGCCUAACACAUGCAAGUCGAGGGGCAGCGGGGAGGUAGCAAUACCUUUGCCGGCGACCGGCGCACGGGUGAGUAACACGUAUGCAAUCCACCUGUAACAGGGGGAUAACCCGGAGAAAUCCGGACUAAUACCCCAUAAUAUGGGCUCUCCGCAUGGAGGGUCCAUUAAAGAGAGCAAUUUUGGUUACAGACGAGCAUGCGCUCCAUUAGCCAGUUGGCGGGGUAACGGCCCACCAAAGCGACGAUGGAUAGGGGUUCUGAGAGGAAGGUCCCCCACAUUGGAACUGAGACACGGUCCAAACUCCUACGGGAGGCAGCAGUGAGGAAUAUUGGUCAAUGGUCGGCAGACUGAACCAGCCAAGUCGCGUGAGGGAAGACGGCCCUACGGGUUGUAAACCUCUUUUGUCGGAGAGUAAAGUACGCUACGUGUAGCGUAUUGCAAGUAUCCGAAGAAAAAGCAUCGGCUAACUCCGUGCCAGCAGCCGCAGUAAUACGGAGGAUGCAAGCGUUAUCCGGAUUUAUUGGGUUUAAAGGGUGCGUAGGCGGCACGCCAAGUCAGCGGUGAAAUUUCCGGGCUCAACCCGGACUGUGCCGUUGAAACUGGCGAGCUAGAGUGCACAAGAGGCAGGCGGAAUGCGUGGUGUAGCGGUGAAAUGCAUAGAUAUCACGCAGAACCCCGAUUGCGAAGGCAGCCUGCUAGGGUGCGACAGACGCUGAGGCACGAAAGCGUGGGUAUCGAACAGGAUUAGAUACCCUGGUAGUCCACGCAGUAAACGAUGAAUACUAACUGUUUGCGAUACAAUGUAAGCGGUACAGCGAAAGCGUUAAGU
rnacentral:rRNA from 1 species